UGUGUGUGUGUGUGUGUGUGUGUAUAAAAUUAUAUUUUCCACCUUAGUCUUUGUAACUACUGCUUAAGUGCUCCAACUCCCCCAUGCCUCCACCCUCCAUACUGGGGAUUGAACCCAGGGCCUUCAUACUAGGUUAUAUCCCCAUCCCUUUUCACAGUUUUUUUUUGGAAUUGGAUGUACUAUAAUACAUAAGUUAUUCAAUGAAAAUUAGCCAAUGGAGAAUAAUUUUUUUCAACUUUUUUAAAUUAAGUUUAUUGAUACAUUUUAGGUAUACAUUAUGAUCACAUUCAUCAUUGGGAAUUUGUACCUGUACAUGAUAUAUCUUGGUUCUUCUUUCUUUCUCUUUUUUUUUUUUUCCGGUAUCAGGCAUCAAACUCAGGACCUUGCGACUGCCAUACAGACCCUGCCAAGCCAACACCCAACCAGGGGCCUUCACUCCUGCCAUUGCUGAUGCUUAACAUCCACACUGGCCUUCAAUUCCUGGGGGAUCGAACUCGGGACCUUGCGCUUGUGAGGCCG
rnacentral:lncRNA from 1 species